ensembl:lncRNA
GUUUGUGUGCUUUUCGGGAACUUGUGUUGCACUUAUAUCCCAAAUAAUACAGCACCGGGUGGCUCAGUGACAAAAGCCUUAGCUGGUUUGACCACCCUGGCUAAUGAAAUGGCAGUAAACUCUGGGGUGGAUACUACUUUGACUACUUGGUUUGAUGAUAUUUUUGGAAAAUGGAAAAAUGUUAUGAUAACGGGGUUGUGGGCUACAUUUACUUGUCUGAUUGUUUUGGUUUUGUGCAGUUGUUGUCUAAUACCCUGUGUACGAGGCCUUGUUUCCAGAACUCUGGAGAAAAUGAUGACUCAGCAGAUGGUGAGAUAUGGGCAGAUUCCAAGUUCUGACCCGUGGGAUGUGGAAUGUGGAUCUACUGAACAAGGGGGUGAAUCCGGAUCUUUCAUCAUUGGGGAAUUUAUGUUUGAUGAGACUAUUUUUGAGAUGAAGGGGAAUUAGAUUGUACUUUGUUUCAAGGAUUAGACUGUUUUUUGAAUGAAGAUUGUAACGAAAAUCCUGAUAAGAAGAGUUAUAAUUCUGAUGUAGGUUUAAAAACAGUUGGUGUUAAGGUUAGAUUUGAUUAAUGAUGGGUGAAGAGUCUGAUAAACAUUUAUAAUAAUGUUGGUUAUGUGUCUAUUCAUAUGAUAAUCUGAUAAACAUUUAUAAUAAUGUUAAUUAUAAGUCUAUUCGUAUGAUAAAUCUGAUAAACCUUUAUAAUAAGGUUAGUUAUAAGUUUAUUCAUAU